GCCGGGUGCAGUGGCGCGUGCCUGUAAUCCAAGUUACCGGGAGGUUGAGACUGGUGGAUCGUUUGAGCUCAGGAUCUCUGAGCUACAGUGGACUAUGUUGAUCGGGUGUCUGCACUAAGUUCGGUAUCGAUAUGGUGCUCCUGGGGGAGGCCGGGACCACCAGGUCGUCUAAGGAGGGUGCACCGGCCCAGGUCGGAAACGGAGCAGGCCAAAGCCCCCGUGCUGCUCAGUAGUGGGAUCGCGCCUGUGAAUAGAGGCUGUAGUGCAGCCUGAGUAAUACAGUGGGACCCAGUCUUUU
rnacentral:SRP_RNA from 1 species